rnacentral:rRNA from 1 species
UACGGAGGAUGCAAGCGUUAUCCGGAUUUAUUGGGUUUAAAGGGUGCGUAGGCGGGAUAAUAAGUCAGUGGUGAAAUCCUGCGGCUUAACCGUAGAAUUGUCAUUGAUACUGUUAUUCUUGAGUGUAGUUGAGGUGGGCGGAAUGUAUAAUGUAGCGGUGAAAUGCUUAGAUAUUAUACAGAACACCGAUUGCGUAGGCAGCUCACUAAACUAUUACUGACGCUGAGGCACGAAAGCGUGGGGAG